rnacentral:lncRNA from 1 species
CAGAUCCCAUAGCUGUCACCGUUCUAAGGCCCAGUGCCAUGGCUUACCGAGUGAAGAUACACAGCGCCAAGCCCGAUGACCUGUCUCUGGGAUCUACAAGACAGCCAUUCAAAUUCGCAUGGGCGUACAUACAAUAAAUGUAUUUUAAACACUCCAAGACAUGUUUUUCUGCUGUAUAAAAUACAACAGCCGGAUAUGAUAACUCAUCAGGAAUCUCAAGAUUUCAGAGGCUGAGGAAAAAGGAUUAUGUGCAGUUGGAGAUCGACACCGGCACGUGUUUUGUAGCCUAUUCUGACCUCAAGAAUCUUAUACUCAAGUGAACUCACUAACCUCCAGUGGUUCGGAAACAAGGACUGAGCCUGGAGACACAGGCUGCACGAACCAAAGGAAAGUACCAGGGCACUUGAGCAGUGAACUCCAAGAGUGGCUGGUGGGACUAAAGGAAAGGAUGGAAGACAAAUGUCACUGCAAGCAGCUGUGCGACGCUGGAUUGGAGAAUGUAGGCUUUGCCAUUGGGCAUUGGGAACUCCGCUUCAGCACAAGGGACAGCGGCACUAUCGUUGCCAGGAGAUUGGAGAAGCCACUGCACAUACAAGAGGCCGGGCAGAGAGCAUACAGCCUUCAGAAGCUUGGGGACUCAAUGAGAGAGCUGGCCAAGUCCUAGAGAUUUCCAUUAUCAGCACUGGCAGUUCAUGUGUCUCGCAAUGCCACGGACCUUGCUCCGUAACUCAAAAGAAUCACCCAGGUCUUCCCAGGUCUGUCUCUCUACACCCAAACCUCUAUUUGUGACUUACCUCCGGUUCUCAGCACAUCAAGCACGCAGACCUGAGGUCAUACCUAGUCUGGAUGUGCAGCUGCAGCUGUGGCAUUAUGGUGAGCUUUGGGACAGAGGCCAUCAAAUGGACAGUAUUUUGGCAGAUGAGAAUGGGCAAGGCCCAGGCACUGCUCAAGUAGGCGGAAGCCCCGGGCCUGCAAAGAUGGCCUUUACUCGGGCAUUUCCAGCCUGAAAGGCUCCCCGCCCUCUGACAAGUAUUACCACCCUGGAGCAGCUGGCACCGGGAACACAGGCCCAAACCCCAAGCACCUUAUCAUCAGGUGGGUAUCUAGUUAUCAGAAGUUAAAUUCCUGCUGAGACCCCUGCUGACCUUUGAAGACAGAACACGAGACGCCAUUCACAGCAGCCUGGAGAACAGCACUCGAGGAGUGUGUACUUCAUAAACCAGCUCCUGUCUACUUACUGCUGGCUGGGGGAGGAAAGCAACUGCCAGGAAGGCCUCCCACCAGCAGGAGAGCAAUUUUCCUCGGCUGCCAUGUGGAAAGGAGGCAGGAGCCUGGAGCAAAUACCUUCUGAGUAACCUGCUCCUUGUGUGGGAAGCAGAGGGACAACUGGGCUCAGGCUGGCAGCACUAUAGACUGCUGACAAGGUGAGAGGGGUUUGCUGAAGGCGCUUGGGUUCCUCCCAUCAGGAUGAAUAGGAGGCUGGCUGGAUGCCCUCUAGACCCUCUGCAGGUAGGGUCCCGGGUGAGAAGGCCUUCCUUCCCUGAAGAUGCAUCAUCAUCUGCACUGCAUGAGCAACAUGAGCAGCAUGAGGCAUGGCCCAAGGCAACACUGGCUACUGGCAGCAUCCCUCCUCACCUCGAGGCUGACAACCACUGCCCUUGGGCAUGCACAAGCUCCAGUCCCAGCUCAAACUGGGGGACCUUAUCCAGCCCAGUCUGCUCUGCCUCAGUGUAAGAUUAGACUUAAAACCAUAUCAAACCUGGGUGUGGUGAUGCACCCCCUGUUCCCGACAUCCCAGCACUUGGGAGGCUGAGGUAGGAGGAGUUGUGCAAGUUUGAGACUGCUGGGGUCCUGUAGAGUGAAUGAGGACUUGGAGAACCAACACCAUCCAAACAGAGAAGACAUUGGAAGGCCUGCAGAUGGACUCUCGCUAGUAAACAUGUCUUCUCUGACCUGCUCCCCUCUUCCAUGGCUGGGGGGUCAGACACCCAGGCCUGAGACAGGCAUUCUUUUGUUUUUCUUUUAUUUAUCUACAUUCAGCGGAAUUCAAAUGUACUGUCUGAAUGAUCCAGACAUACCCAAAAAAAAAAACCACUGUUUUUUAAAAUAAAAUUUUCACUUAUAAAA